AAAAUUUUUUGUAUACACUUACAGUUAGAAAUUUUUGGGGUGCAGUAUGCUUAUGUUUAGUGAUCAAUUGGGGAGACUAGUCUCCCAAUCAUCAUCAGGGGGGAUUGUGAAUUUUAAAAGUCUCCAUCUUGGUCUAGCACCCCAAAUUGUGCACACCCACACUACACGGGCAUGCGCUAGUCAAUGACAAAUCAGAAAUAACUAACUGCCCACCUGGGCUGUCCUAAGCCAAGCUAGAGCCAACCAUUGGAUUUGUGAGACACAGGAAGUGAGGUAGGGAACAGCCUCUGGAAUUCGCUCACUUCCUGUGGAGAGAGCUAGAGGGAGGUUGGUGUGAGGAGCUUGGAGAGGGAGGACGCCUGCAGACAGCUUUCCUUCAGAUCGGUCACCUGCUUAGGUUUCCACAACUAACCCAGGGACGACUACCCAAGAGUUAGAUUUGGCUCAUUCAUUCACACCCUUUCCUGUGUCUGGCAUUUUGAGUGACAAGAGACAAAUGAUUCCAAUUUAAAAGAUAUAAAAACAUAUAUUACAAACCAUAUCAUGCAAGGAGGCAUGGCACAUACCUUCAAUCCUUGCUUCUAGGAGCGCUGAUGGAAGAUUGUUGAAGUCAAGAGUUCUGAUCUACAGUUGAGCUAAAGUCAAUCAGGAACAUGUCUCUACACUAAAAGUUUGCUCAGUAUAAUUUUAAAACUAAGAAUGAAGCAUCAUCAAUGUACCUAAGGAAGGAUGAACCACCACAGGCACUCAGGAAUAUAAAAAGAAAGAAGAGAAUCAAAUUAACAUUAUCAAAGUUGAAAAGUUUGAUCUCAUCUCUAAUGAAGAAGAAACUAAGAAAAUCCAGUGCUAGAGUAAGAAUAUUUCCUAUGUGUAAAUGGAGAAAAUGGAAACUUGCUUUCACAGUUCAAUCGUCAAAAACCUCUACUAAUGCCUGAAUUCACCAGAAGAAUGUUUUUAAAUGAAUAAAAUAAAACAUCUGAAUUUAGAAAGAAAAUCC
rnacentral:lncRNA from 1 species